GCGUUUGGUUGUGUAACCCACUUAGAAAAAGCAUUUAAUUUUCCUACUGGCAAUUAAAGGGUUAAUUUUUCCUUUGCGGUAGAGAUGGUUUGGCCCUCCAGGCAUACCAUGCAGGGCUCUGUGGAGGGUGCCAUCUUGUGUCUGCGUGUUUUUUUUCUUGCAAGCACGAGGCAGAGAAGGAGCUGCGUGACCAGCAGAGAAAGAUCGGCAGUGUUAUAGACGGAAGAAGAAAAAUAAGUUGAAGAAUUAAAAGAAGCUACUUUUUGUUUUUUGAGAUCGGUUACGUUGUGUGCCGAAAGAACAUUUUCAGAGCGGCUACGUUGUGAACGCGUGUCGUGUUUAAGAAUUCUUGGAAACUCCGAAUUGUUUUGAUGACCCUCAAUUGUAGCUCGGACUACAAUUCUUCGUUGGAAGUGGAUGGCGAGCCAGGCGUAGAACGAGAGUAUCCUGUUGAAGAUUGACGUACAGUGUGGCCAGCUGUUACUGAUUCCCAUCAACAGGAUUUAACCCAAUCCGACAGGACAAGAGAUAAGGAAUAUUCCUAUACACAUUCAUUUAUCCUACCCGGGUAGAGAACAAAUUGAGUGCACAAACGAGACAAAGGACAAUUUAUUUUAUACUAUUUUUUAUAAAGCUGAUUUAUUUUGUAAAAGAAUUCAGUUUUAGGAACAAAUUAUUGUUUAUGUUGUUUUUCUAUUUUGUGUUGUGAAAGGUAAUGUAAUAAACCUGCCCUCUGUUAUUUAAA